GCGCUUUGCGAGGUUCCUGGCUAGGGAGGCGGCCUUGGCUGGCUUGACCGUCAUCCUUGAGGCCUGCGGGGCAACGGUGGCUGUCCUUGGCCCGGCUUUGGAAUGUGGCUUUGCAGGGCUGGUGUUGGCGCCAUUCUCGCAGGCCCACGUGCUCCUGCUCUUCCAGGGUGUCCUCGGCUGUUUCUCCUGCCGCGGCGCAGCAGCGCUCCCAGGCUGCCCCCGCGAUAACACGCCCCUGGCAGCCAGGCUCCCAGCUCUGUUACGUGCCCGGGCGGGGAAGAGCUUCCUGGUGUCUCCCGGCUCCUGCCCUUCUCCCGCCCCAGGGGCGGGCUGCCGCCGCCCUCUGCAGCUGAGUCAGUGCAGUUCCUCACCUACCUUCUCUGCUCACCGCUGUGUGCUAGCAAUCGGAGGACCCUUGGCACACGGAGCGACAGGGGCCUCCCCCACAGACACCUCAUUUUGGGAAAGAAGCUGUACAGGAGGCAUGGCUGGGGAGGCCUCAGAAAACUUACAAUCAUGGCAGAAGGUGAAGGGGAAGCCAGCACAUCUUCAUAUGAUGGCAGGAACUUUAUAUGUUAUAGAAGUUAGCCCCAAGAAUGAAAUCGUGUCCUUUGCCAAAACAUGGAUGGAGCUAGAGGCCUUUAUCCUAAGUGAGUUAACGCAGGAACAGAAAGCCAAAUAGUGCAUGUUCUCACUGAUAAGUGGGAGCUAAACUAUGGGUUCACAAAGGCAUGCAGAGUGGUACUGUGGACAUUGGAGACUCAGAAUGGGGGAGGCUAGGAGGGAGGUAAGGGAUGAAAAAGUACCUGUUGGGUACAAUGUACACUACUUGGGUGACGAUGGGUCCACUAAAAUCCCAGAUUUAACCACUGUACAAUUCAUCCAUGUAACCAAAACCCACCUGUACCCCAAUGCUAUGAAAAUAAAUAAAACCAAAUUAGCUCUGUUUCUGUUAGAUGAGAUGCAAAUAUUUUCCCAAGUUUGUCCUUUGUCUUUUGACUUUGUUUAUGGUGUUUCACUCAUGCAGAUGUUUUUUAUUUUCAUGUUUUUAACUUGUCAUUAUUUUCUUUCAUGUCUUCUGGAUUUUAAGUCAUGUUAUCAAGGCUUUCCCACUCUGAUAUUAUAAAUGAAUUUUUCCUCAUUUCUCUUAGAACUUUGAUUCUUUCACUUCCCACAUUUAACCUUCCACGUAUCCAGAAUUUCCCCUAGCAUAAGUUGAUACGGUCCCAAUGUUUCUUUUUUUUUUUUCCCAAAUGGCCACUCAUUUAUACCAACACCAUUUAUUGAAUCGUCUAUAGUCCCCACUGAUUUGAAAUGCCAGCUUUACAUACCAAAGUCCUGUAUGCAUUUGCCUCUGUUCUGUUUGGUAGGUCUAUUCAAGCUCCAGUUCCCAAAAGUGUUGAGUGUCGCUUAAAAUCUAGAAGGGCUGGUUUCUAGUUUUCCAUAAUUGCUCCUCUUUUCUAGUGUCCUCUGUCCUAUUAGGGCUUAUUGAUUUUUAAAUAUGAUUUGUGGAUUCAGUUUUCUUUAGUUCUAGUGAGCAACAAAAACAACCAAGAAAAAAAUAAAAAAAACCCUCCCUGUUUUCCUUUCUUUCUUUCUUUUUUUAAUCAAGAUCACCUUAAGUUUAAAAAUUAACGUAGGAUAACUUGACAUAUUUUAUGAUUUUUAUGUUACUCUCCAAAAAUAUAAUAAGUGGUUCUAUUUAUUCAACUCUACUCCUUUGUCCUGCAGGAACAUUUUGUUUCCUUAUCAAGUCUGAUAUUGUCUUUUGGUC
ensembl:lncRNA TAGAP-AS1 TAGAP antisense RNA 1